GGACUCUCUGUAAAAUACCUGGCCAAUACUUUUUAAUACUGUAAAUGUUAAAAGAACAAGGAAAGGUUGAACAACUUUCACAGCUGAGAGAAGCCUCAGGAGACAUGACAACUAAAUGUACUGUGGCAUCCAGGAUGGGACACUGGAACAGAAAAAGGCAUUAGGUAAAAAAUGAAGAAACUAACUGGAGAGAUAUGGGAAGAUACCAGAGGCCCUUGGUCUUUUGAGGAAAGAGUAUGAUGAAGAAACUAACUGGAGAGAUAUGGGAAGAUACCAGAGGCCCUUGGUCUUUUGAGGAAGGAGUAUGUAUCUUCUAUCUGAUGUUCCUGGAGCAGAUCCUAAAGAAACAAAUGUUCUCUCUGAAGCUUAUAAACAACUAUCAACAGUUUUCCUCCAAAAAUGAAAACCUUAAGAUUGGCAACAAAUUUAAAGGCGAUCAAGCAGGUGUUAACGGCAUACAGAACUAUGUCAUUGUUAUAAAAGAAUGUUAUAAAAGAAC